rnacentral:lncRNA from 1 species
UAACGUCGCCGGGGCGGCUCCCGCCCGCAUCGAGGGCGUCAACGACGUCCGCAGACGCGCCGAUCAAGAGCUUAACGGCUUCGAGAGAAGCCGCGGAGCCGCCGGCGGCAGCGCAGUGCAGGGCGGUGGCUCCGUCGGAGUAGGCGUGGCGGACGGCCUCAGCUGGGCAGGCGGACAGGAUGUAGCCCAUCACGGCGGUGCUGCCGUAUAGCGCCGCGAUCAUGAGCGGCGUCCGCAGCUGGUAACCCAUUCCCCGGCCAGGAGAGCGGCCGUACCAGGAGGCAGCGGCAUCCAACGGUCGGCCGUCGUCCUCCACCGCCCGCCUGAAG